UCUAACUAUAUAUAGAAAACAUGACGCAAGCGCUUGAUUGAAGAUUUUCGUUACACUUUGAGUUUAUAUUAUUUGCUUGAAGCAACAGGAAGACAAGUAAUGGAUGUUUAUCAUAUGUUGAUUAUUGUGCUACUCUUAACGUUGGGCGCAGUUGACGGAAUCAAUUCUCAAUCACUAAAUGAAAAAAAACCAGUGAAUCGCACAUCACCAGAAUAUCCAGAACUCGAUCCGACACAAACAGCUCAUAAAAAUCUCGAAUUGCUCGUUGGGGACGCCGCCUCAAAAAUAAGGAAAUUUGAAGAAUCUGUUUCCGAAGAUUUCGCAAAGC